rnacentral:rRNA from 1 species
AACGAACGCUGGCGGCAGGCUUAACACAUGCAAGUCGAACGCUCCGCAAGGAGAGUGGCAGACGGGUGAGUAACGCGUGGGAAUCUACCUAGUUCUACGGAACAACUGAGGGAAACUUCAGCUAAUACCGUAUACGCCCUACGGGGGAAAGAUUUAUCGGAAUUAGAUGAGCCCGCGUAAGAUUAGCUAGUUGGUGGGGU